UGGGGAAUUUUGGACAAUGGGGGAAACCCUGAUCCAGCCAUCCCGCGUGUGCGAUGAAGGCCUUCGGGUUGUAAAGCACUUUUGGCAGGAAAGAAACGUCGCGGGUUAAUACCCCGCGAAACUGACGGUACCUGCAGAAUAAGCACCGGCUAACUACGUGCCAGCAGCCGCGGUAAUACGUAGGGUGCAAGCGUUAAUCGGAAUUACUGGGCGUAAAGCGUGCGCAGGCGGUUCGGAAAGAAAGAUGUGAAAUCCCAGAGCUUAACUUUGGAACUGCAUUUUUAACUACCGGGCUAGAGUGUGUCAGAGGGAGGUGGAAUUCCGCGUGUAGCAGUGAAAUGCGUAGAUAUGCGGAGGAACACCGAUGGCGAAGGCAGCCUCCUGGGAUAACACUGACGCUCAUGCACGAAAGCGUGGGGAGCAAACAGGAUUAGAUACCCUGGUAGUCCACGCCCUAAACGAUGU
rnacentral:rRNA from 1 species